GUUGAGGGAGGCGGCGAGUCGGUCGGCGGUCGUCCGUUGCGUUUGUGUUUUUUUUUUUUUUCGGUGUUGUGUUGUUGUUUGUGUGUAUACGUUCUUCCAGCAUUGCAAAUCUAUUUCAUAGCAUAUUACUUGACUUACACUUAUGUUUUGUGUGGAUGGGAUUGCAGUCUAACUAGGGUGACAAAUCGGAACUUCAUCGGCUACGUUUGCAUUAUAUCAAGGAGCUUUGCACAUUUGAUAUAAAUGUACAUCGUACGAGUAGUGUGGCAUGGGCGUUGCACUUUCUUUCUACUCCAUUACCUACCACAGAGGGAUGAUUUGUCUUUACAAGUGUGUGUGCCGGUGUUCUGAUGGGUUUGGGUGUUUUGUUCUUUUUUUUUUUUCUUUUUUUUUUUGUGUGCUUCAUGGCAUAAUAUGGAUGCUGUUGCAUUUGUUUAGUUGGUCGGUUUAUGUAAUGUUAUUACUUUAUUGGCAUCCUAUCAUGGUAGUUGUAUCACUUUUGUUAUCUAGUAGCUUAGUUUUGACUCA